UGAGGAAUAUUGGUCAAUGGGGGCAACCCUGAACCAGCCAAGUCGCGUGAAGGAUGAAGGUCUUAUGGAUUGUAAACUUCUUUUACACGGGAAUAAAGCGGGGGACGUGUCCCUCUUUGCAUGUACCGUGUGAAUAAGGAUCGGCUAACUCCGUGCCAGCAGCCGCGGUAAUACGGAGGAUCCGAGCGUUAUCCGGAUUUAUUGGGUUUAAAGGGUGCGCAGGCGGGAUGUUAAGUCGGCGGUGAAAUUUUGCAGCUCAACUGUAAAAGUGCCUUCGAUACUGGCCUUCUUGAGUGUGGAUGAAGGAGGCGGAAUUUGUGGUGUAGCGGUGAAAUGCUUAGAUAUCACGAGGAACUCCGAUUGCGCAGGCAGCUUACUAAGCCACAACUGACGCUCAUGCACGAAGGCGUGGGGAUCAAACA
rnacentral:rRNA from 1 species